UGCCACAAUGAUUCGGGUAAAGAGGGCAGGGUUACAUGGUUCCUCAGCAGCCGUAGAGCUCUCGUCUUCAGGUAUCGCAGGUUUGAAGUCCGCAUUGUCUAUAAUGUAAAGCACGAUCAUAGAAACAGUCAGAAUCAAAUAAAAUGCUCCGACGAUGCCGAAUGCAUAGUAAACGCUCGACUCGCCCGUGCCAUUUUGAGCGGUGGAGCUAUUGGCCAGAUCUACCAAGUUGACAGGCGGGUAAGCGAUGUUGUUCUGGGUCAGGUAUACGUUGUCGGUAGUGUUCGAUGUGGUCGCAUUACCA